UUAUAUUUUAUUUAUUAUAUUUUAUUAUUUUCUUGUAUUAUUUUUAGUUAUUUUCUGUUAUUAUAGUAUUUUAUUGUAUUAAUUUUUUAGUGUUUUUUAUUAUUUUUUAUUGGGUUGCUAGGAGACCAAGUUGGAGGAGAUUAGCCUUCUAACUGGCAGCAAUUGGAUAAAAGCAAUUAUUCCUCUCUCUCUAAUUAGGACUUUAUUUUUCUUUUCUUUUUGUUGUAUCAACCUAGAGGCGUGGAUGAUGGGUUGUGUUGUCAAAUUUCGAGGUUGGGGGGCCUGUAGUUUUGUUGUUUUGUGGGUCGCCGUGAUGCCAUCACUCUUUUAUAUAUAUAGAUUUCCUUCUUCCUCUUUACCAAGUAUUUGUGCAAUGCCUAACAUCACAUUAAAUCAUAUUUUUGCUAAGUAAUGUUCAGAAUGAAAUGCCAUGGGCUCUACAGGUAUGUUCAAAUAGACAAAUGUGCUCAAUUCAGUUUGGAAAAAUAUCCUUUAACUGUUCUGGGAACAUAUGAGAGCCAAGCAAGGAUUUCCCCAACUAUGCAACAAACAGUAAAGAGUAUACAAAUCUGCUUAGGAGGAAGAUAAACUAAUUCACGGAAACCUAUGUCUAGAUAUGAAGAUAUGAGAUUGCUGCCUAUGCGAAUGUAUUAUUAUGCUAUACUCUUUCAUUUUACCAUUCUUGAGAUGUUCAGUUUUAAAUAACCAGCUAUUAAAGGGAGCAAACAGAAGUGUUAUCAGAGUGCUUUAAGAUUUUUAAAUGAUUGAUCUUUUUAUUUGGCAUAUCUUUUCUUCAUAGAUGUCAUUUCUUUUUGAACCUUCACUGAGAUUUUCUAUUAAAAAUGAAGAAAAGUGGUUUAAAAAGGAAGAAUCCGGGAGCUGUGAAAUGUCCUCAUCUUCUGUUUGAUAUGAAAAUAGAAGAAUAAAAUACACAUCCAAAGAAAAGUUUUUAAAAAUGUCAGGAGCUAUACCUUCCAACAUUUCAAAGAUGAAAACUGGGGCACAUGAGGUAAAGAAACAUUAGUGUAUAGUCAAGAUAGCAAAAAUUAUUAGUAGAAAAUAUGCAAACUUUGAGAGGCUGUGUGACGGUGCGAGUGGCACCAUCUAUAUGUCGAACUGUAAGUUGCAAGAUUUGAAUUGUUGUAUCAUGCCUGAUUUUGCUUUUACCCUGUAAAUGUAGUUGAAUUGAUUGAUUAUUUGUAGCUGUGAAUCAAUGUUGUUUGCAUCAUUUAUAUUGCUCACUCAGCACAAUUGUUUGACUCCACCCUUUCCUGGAGUAGGACAGUGUUUCUUUUUUCAUUCCACCAUCAAACUUUCUACCAGAUGGACGUGAGAGAGAGUCUUGGCUCUAAAAGCCCUUGAUUAAGUUACCUCUCAGCACCAAUUCUGAGGUUCUUACCCUUUAGACUUACGCUUCAUGUUCAGGGCCAACCUGAACGACGUUGAGGAGUCUCAAGUGCCUUCAAAUCAGUCCUUUGGCAACAGAGGAAGACUGUGUCUUCAAACAUAGGCCAUUUGGACUGAGGCUGAGGAUUGCUCCGGCAUUCACAGCCAUUGAGAAAGAGGGACCUGGAAAAGCUUCUCAGCUGCAGAGCUCCUUGGACUUAAGACAACCAAAGACUGUAAUGUAUAUUUUCCUUUAGCCCUUUGAAACUUCCAACUUAUUGGGAUAACCUUUUGUGAACAAUAAAACCAGUUUUGAGUUA